UUAACUCGAAUUUGUAUGGAGCUGGAAUGUUUGCCGCUAGGGGCGCUGUUCCAACUGCAUACAAA
rnacentral:pre_miRNA from 1 species